rnacentral:sRNA from 1 species
GGAUCUCAAAGGAAAGAUGCCAAAUAAGAUGAUUCGAAAAGGUGUGUUCAAAGAUCAGCAUUUUGAUCAAAAUCUCAACUUCAUGUACAUAGAAGUUGAUAAAGUAACAGAGAGGGAGAAAGUUACUGUUAUGAGCACCAUUAAUCCAACUAAGGACCUGUUGGCUGACUUGAUUGGGUGUCAGAGACUUCCUGAAGACCAACGUAAGAAAGUACACCAGCUAAAGGACUUGUUGGACCAGAUUCUGAUGCUGGACCCAGCUAAACGAAUUAGCAUCAACCAGGCCCUACAGCAUGCCUUCAUCCAGGAAAAAAUUUAAACAAGAUGAAGAAACUCCAAGGGUUUGAGUAAAUACAAAGACUGAAGAAAUUUCACAGCAGUUUAUUAAUGUGUGUGUGUGCAGGCCACAGCAGCAUGCCCUUGGUGUAGUCAGUGCCGAAAGGGGUCUGUUCCUUCUUGAGCCUGCCUGCAGGGAUGGUCUCCUUUUAAAGCAGGUUGUGUGCAGCAUUCAGUACACUGAAGGCAUAAACCUUCCACUCUUGAACAAAGCAGCUGCUUUUUAAAAGCGGUAAUUGCUUCUUUACCUUUUAUUUCUUUUGUAAAUGAAGCUUUUCUUUAAGAAUGUGACUUUAAAGUGUUGUCUAUUGCAUAAAACAGUUGACACUCACUUAUUGUAAAGUGAAGAUUGUUCUACUGCAUGUGAAGUGGACCAUGCAGAUUUCUGUAUGUUCUCAGUAUGCAUCACUAGAUAAUAAAGUCUUUUGUGAACAAGGCAUUUGUAGCCAUUUUUAAAAGUUUUUGUCUUCAGUGCUGGUAAGUCAGGUAAACCAUAAAUAGUUAAAAGCAACCUUUUGUUUUUUUUCCUGAAAGUUUUUAAUUGAAAGUAUUAUUAGUUAAAGAUGUAAACCUAGCCAAAAUUACCAGUUUAUUAAUAAUUAGGAUCCUAAUUAUUUCAAAAAAUCCUACAAAUAUUGUCAGCUUUCAGUGUAGUGAGAUUAUUCCUGUAGGUUAUGGGGUAUAAUUCAGGAUUUAACUAAUGUUUCUGCUAUUUUCUCACUUUUCCUUUUGAUGGUGCGGAAAGAGAAAAAGGAAAACGGGGCACAGGCCAUUCGACGCCUUCUCCAAGGGGUCUGAUUUGCUGAGACACCAGCUUCACCUUCUUAACAAGGCACCUAAUUACAACAAGCAUGCACAUUUUGGUGCAUUCAAGAAUGGAAAAUCAGAAUAGCAGCAUUGAUUCUUCUGGUGCAGCUCAGUGGAAGAUGAUGACAACCAGAAGACAUGAGCUAAGGUUUCUGUCCUAUAAAAGAUUUAUUUAAAAACAAUCCUUCAUUUAGUUUUUGUCUAAUUUUUUAGUUUUCAGCAUUAUGAUUUGGGUUUUAUUAGUGUUUGGUAUUUAGAAUUAGUGCUAUUGUGGUGUUCAUCUGUAAAGUGCUUGUUUUAUCAUACUUCCUGCCUCUCCCCUCCCCCAGUUUCUCCUCCCCUAAAAUAAAAAUAGUGGUCAACUUUAGUAAUAUAAAAGGCUGUUGGACGCUGAGAUUCCACAUAACACAUGGUUGUCAAAAUUGGAUCUUCAGGAUUCUUAGAAAAACCACCAGAAUAGCAUAUAUCUAAAAGUAGUCUUCAGCUUUAGGCAGAUGCAAAAGAAUAGAAACUGGAAUAUUAAGAAUACUGUUCAACUCCUUUAGUAUCUAUUCCCCAUCUUACCCUUUAGACACCUCG